GUCCACGCCGUAAACGAUGUCUACUAGCCGUUGGAGUCCUUGAGGCUUUAGUGGCGCAGCUAACGCACUAAGUAGACCGCCUGGGGAGUACGGUCGCAAGAUUAAAACUCAAAUGAAUUGACGGGGGCCCGCACAAGCGGUGGAGCAUGUGGUUUAAUUCGACGCAACGCGAAGAACCUUACCAGGUCUUGACAUCUAGAGAACUUUCCAGAGAUGGAUUGGUGCCUUUCGGGAACUCUAAGACAGGUGCUGCAUGGCUGUCGU
rnacentral:rRNA from 1 species